CUACUAACGGUGGGCUUGGGUUGUUUAUAGAAGUAUUGUCUGACAUCUUGAGAAAAAAAGUUUGUGCCUAAUAAUUUUGUGUUCAAUUCCUAGAUUGGUGGAAUCUGAAAAGUGGGAAAACUAAUAUUUUUACGACAAACACGAUAAUUGGUGGGGAAUGCAAACAAAGAUAGACGAAGUUAGCCAUUGGGACGUUCAUGGACAUGUAUAAGAUGAGUUUAUCUCAUGAUAUUGUCACUUACAGCACAUUGAUUAAUGGUUACUGUAAAGUGACAUGGGUAAUGAAAAUGUCAGAUGGUAGGUGGGAACCUGAUAUAAGGACUUACAGUAUACGAAUUCAUGGUUUCUGCACUGCCCGAAAAAUCAAGUGGGCUGGGGCGAUACUUGAGGAGCUUAUUUCAGCAGGGGUUGUUCCUAAUACUGUAACAUGCAAUACUAUGAUUAAUGCUGUCUAGUGUCAUCCUGGAACAUGCUAUGAUGGAUCAUUAAUUAGAGCAUUCUUGUGCUCUAUGAAUCCUUAUCCAAGAUUUUUGUAAUUUGAUAAUGGCACGUGAAUUAAACUCUUGAAGUUGAAUGGCUGUUCCAAUAAAUUAGACUUAAUGGAGCAUCAAGCCAGCGAGAAAUCUCAUACUCCAAGUACUUAGAGAAGCUGCACAACAAUUGAUCCAAGUUCCCGAUACGUCGACAAAUAGAAGAAUGUUCUUGGAGGAUUCAUCCUUUGAGGUAGCAUCUGUGAGAUCCCACUUCGGUUAGAAAAGGGAACGAAACAUUUCUUAAAAAGGUGUGAAAACCUCUCUCCCAAACCAUGAGGCUGAUGGCGAUACGUAGUGGACCAAAGCUUCGGCGUUCACAAUACCUGAGUUUUUCAGGUGGAUGAAGAUCCCCACCAUAUCCUAUAAGCCAACCCCUGAGCUGCUCCAAGUACUAUCUGCAAUCUUGUUUUCCAAGCGAGUGUCGGUAGCGCCUUGUUGAAGAGAUGAUCUUCCAAGCUUCUGUUCGUCAUAUACUCGUAUACGAGCAGUCUUUGGAUUCCUCUUGUUCCAUCCACAGCACAGUAUCCUACGAGUUGGACAAGAUUUGGAUGCUCCACUAUACCAAGAAAUUGAACUUCUGCCAGCCACUGCUUGUGGCCCUAUUUGCAAAAUAGAAAUGGUACACUCCGAGUCGAUGUUAGAGAGCACGAAGAAGCAGCCGUCUGACUGCAUCCCGAAAAGUUAGAUUCUAGCUCCCCUUUCAAUUCAGGAGAUCGAUGAGACCCAGAUGGGAUCAAGGGAAAGGGCUAAUUUGUUGAGUCUGGCUUGAAGUUUCAGAAUCCAUUUGAGCCUAUGG